rnacentral:misc_RNA from 1 species
AGCAGCCGCGGUAAUUCCAGCUCCAAUAGCGUAUAUUAAAGUUGUUGCAGUUAAAAGCUCGUAGUUGAAUUUCGGGAUUGGCGCAUCGGUCGUGCCUCACGGGGUAUGAACUGGUGCAGUCAAUUUCUCACCUUCUGGAGAACCGCGAUGUCCUUAAUUGGAUGCCGCGGGGAACCAGGACCUUUACUUUGAAAAAUUGAGUUGUUUAAAGCAGGCUAUUUUUGCUUGAAUACAUUAGCAUGGAAUAAUAAAAUAGGACGGCAUGGUUCUAUUUUGUUGGUUUCUAGGACCACCGUAAUGAUUAAUAGGGAUAGUUGGGGGCAUUAGUAUUCAAUUGUCAGAGGUGAAAUUCUUGGAUUUAUUGAAGACUAACUACUGCGAAAGCAUUUGCCAAGGAUGUUUUCAUUAAAUCAAGAACGAAAGUUAGGGAUCGAAGACGAUCAGAUCCGUCGUAGUCUUAACCAUAAACUA